UCCCUGGUGCCUCAGAUAGUAAAAGUGUCUGUCUGCAAUGCAGGAGACCCAGGUUCAACCCCUGGGUUGGGAA
rnacentral:tRNA from 1 species